rnacentral:rRNA from 1 species
GAUCCUGGCUCAGGACGAACGCUGGCGGCGCGCCUAACACAUGCAAGUCGAACGAGAGAGAGGGAGCUUGCUUCCUCGAUCGAGUGGCGAACGGGUGAGUAACGCGUGAGGAACCUGCCUCAAAGAGGGGGACAACAGUUGGAAACGGCUGAUAAAACCGCAUAAGCGCACAGUGCCGCAUGGCACAGUGUGAAAAACUCCGGUGGUAUGAGAUGGACCCGCGUCUGAUUAGCG